rnacentral:rRNA from 1 species
CUCGUAGGCGGUCGUCGCGUCCGGUGUGAAAGUCCAUCGCUUAACGGUGGAUCUGCGCCGGGUACGGGCGGGCUGGAGUGCGGUAGGGGAGACUGGAAUUCCCGGUGUAACGGUGGAAUGUGUAGAUAUCGGGAAGAACACCAAUGGCGAAGGCAGGUCUCUGGGCCGUUACUGACGCUGAGGAGCGAAAGCGUGGGGAGCGAACA